rnacentral:rRNA from 1 species
CUCUAUCGUCUGGAGCAUCCUGGCGUCGCUCGCGUCUUCAGUGGAGUUCGGGUAUCUCCGUCACAGUGGCAUGCUCGUCUUGGUCACCCGGCCACACCUAUUGUCCGGCAUGUUUUGCGUCGUCAUGAGCUUCCUAGUGUGUCUAGUAAUAAAGAUGUAGCAGUGUGUGAUGCUUGUCAGCAGGGGAAGAGUCAUCAACUUCCUUUUUCGGAGUCCAAUCGUGAGGUGAAACAUCCUUUAGAACUUGUGUUUUCAGAUGUAUGGGGUCCUGCUCAGACUUCUGUUAGUGGUCAUAAUUACUAUAUCAGUUUUGUUGAUGCUUACAGCCGCUUUACCUGGCUUUAUCUUAUCAAACAUAAAUCUGAUGUGUUUGACAUUUUUGUUCAGUUCCAAAAACAUGUUGAACGCCUUCUC